rnacentral:rRNA from 1 species
AGAGUUUGAUCCUGGCUCAGGAUGAACGCUGGCGGCGUGCCUAAUACAUGCAAGUCGAGCGGUAAGGCUCCUUCGGGAGUACACGAGCGGCGGACGGCUGAGUAACGCGUAGGAACGUACCCCAAACUGAGGGAUAACUGCUCGAAAGAGUAGCUAAUACCGCAUGUGCUCUACGGAGUAAAGCUACGGCGGUUUGGGAACGGCCUGCGUACGAUUAGAUUGUUGGUGAGGUAAUGGCUCACCAAGUCGACGAUCGUUAGCUGGUCUGAGAGGAUGAUCAGCCAGACUGGGACUGAGAACGGCCCAGACUCCUACGGGAGGCAGCAGUAGGGAAUUUUCCACAAUGGACGAAAGUCUGAUGGAGCAACGCCGCGUGCAGGAUGAAUGCCUUCGGGUUGUAAACUGCUUUUAUCUGUGACGAAUAUGACGGUAGCAGAUGAAUAAGGAUCGGCUAACUCCGUGCCAGCAGCCGCGGUCAUACGGAGGAUCCAAGCGUUAUCCGGAAUUACUGGGCGUAAAGAGUUGCGUAGGUGGCAGAGUAUGUCUGUAGUGAAAGCGUGUGGCUCAACCAUAUACACAUUACAGAAACUGCUCAGCUAGAGGGCGAGAGAGGUUACUAGAAUUCCUAGUGUAGGAGUGAAAUCCGUAGAUAUUAGGAGGAAUACCGAUGGCGUAGGCAGGUAACUGGCUCGUCCCUGACACUAAGGCACGAAAGCGUGGGUAGCAAACGGGAUUAGAUACCCCGGUAGU